rfam:Galdieria sulphuraria unplaced genomic scaffold scaf_35, whole genome shotgun sequence.
GGGGUUAUAACUCAACAGGCAGAGUGUCUCGAUGGCAUCGAGAAGGCUAGCGGUUCAAAUCCGCUUAACUCCA